rnacentral:rRNA from 1 species
AUUGACCUCGGAUCAGGUAGGGAUACCCGCUGAACUUAAGCAUAUCAAUAAGCGCGAGGA